rnacentral:sRNA from 1 species
CAUUCGGCCGGGUGCGGUGGCUCACGCCUGUAAUCCCAGCACUUUGGGAAGCCAAGGCGGGCAGAUCACGAGGUCAGGACAUCAAGACCACCCUGGCUAACACAGUGAAACUCCGUCUCUACUAAAAAUACAAAAAAUUAGCCGGGCGUGGUGGCAGGCAUCUGUAGUCCCAGCUACUAGGAAGGCUGAGGCAGGAGAAUGGCGUGAACCUGGGAGGCGGAGCUUGCAGUUAGCUGAGAUGGCGCCACUGCACUCCAGCCUGGGCGACAGAGUGAGACUAGGUGACAGAGUGAAACUCCGUCUCAAAAAAAAAAAAAAAAAAAAAAAAUUCACUCAUUCAAGAUUUUUUGAGCAGCACGAGUCACUGUUUUAGGCACUUGUGAUAGACCCUAACAUCUCUACCCUCAUAGAACUUAUAUUGUAAUGGAGAAAGGCAGCCAACAGACAUUGUAAAUAAAUCAUAUAAUAUCUUAAAAUUGCAUACAAAUACCAUGGGAAAGGGAUAAGGUGGGACUGGGGUUGCAGUUUUUAGCAGGGUGGUCAUGUGAGAAGGGAAUCUCUUUGAGAAGGUUAGAUGAGAGGGGCACCAUGCUCCGUAAGACAUAAAAACAGCUUUAGGGUCAGAAGACGCUUUAUACAGAUGACCUCACAAGGCUGGGGCAGAGAAAGAUGUAGUGACUCCUAAUCACCCAGCCUUGAAUCCACAUCUGCCUAAGGUCAGAUUGAGUGCAGAUUCCCAACCAAACAGGCCUUCUGUUGCCUGCCCUGUUCUGGUCUUUCUGCCUUUGGCUUUUGCUUUUCUUAGUGGCCCUAACCAUGGUCUCUUCCGGCAGGUGAACAGCUGGGAGAAGCUGCAGCUGCAGGAGUGCUUGUGGGCUGACUCCCUGGGGCCUCUCAAAGACGAUGUGCUACUGUUGGAGACACGAGGCCCCCAGGACAACAGAUCCCUUUGUGCCUUGGAACCCAGUGGCUGUACUUCACUACCCAGCAAAGCCUCCACGAGGGCAGCUCGCCUUGGAGAGUACUUACUACAAGACCUGCAGUCAGGCCAGUGUCUGCAGCUAUGGGAUGAUGACUUGGGAGCGCUAUGGGCCUGCCCCAUGGACAAAUACAUCCACAAGCGCUGGGCCCUCGUGUGGCUGGCCUGCCUACUCUUUGCCGCUGCGCUUUCCCUCAUCCUCCUUCUCAAAAAGGAUCAUGCGAAAGCGGCCGCCAGAAGCCGCGCGGCUCUGCUCCUCUACUCAGCCGAUGACUCGGGCUUCGAGCGCCUGGUUGGCGCCCUGGCGUCGGCGCUGUGCCAGCUGCCGCUGCGCGUAGCCGUAGACCUGUGGAGCCGUCGUGAACUGAGCGCGCAGGGGCCCGUGGCUUGGUUCCACGCGCAGCGGCGCCAGACCCUGCAGGAGGGAGGCGUGGUGGUCUUGCUCUUCUCGCCUGGUGCGGUGGCGCUGUGCAGCGAGUGGCUACAGGACGGGGUGUCCGCGCCCGGGGCGCACGGCCCGCACGACGCCUUCCGCGCCUCGCUCAGCUGCGUGCUGCCCGACUUCUUGCAGGGCCGUGCGCCCGGCAGCUACGUGGGGGCCUGCUUCGACAGGCUGCUCCACCCGGACGCCGUACCCGCCCUUUUCCGCACCGUGCCCGUCUUCACACUGCCCUCCCAACUGCCGGACUUCCUGGGGGCCCUGCAGCAGCCCCGCGCCGCGCGUUCCGGGCGGCUCCAAGAGAGGGCGGAGCAAGUGUCCCGGGCCCUUCAGCCAGCCCUGGAUAGCUACUUCCAUCCCCCGGGGACUCCCGCGCCGGGACGUGGGGUGGGACCUGGGGCGGGGGACGGGACUUAAAUAAAGGCAGACGCUGUUUUUCUACCC